ensembl:lncRNA
GUUUCACGUGUGUCCUCUUGGAAUUUCGCUUUUAUCAUUUUGAUCCUGUGGGCCUAUAGGUGAAAUGCCUAAUCCGCAACAAGCUUCUUGGUUAUAAUAACAAUACAUCUUCCAUGUUGAGGCAUUACCGUGCCCUUCAUGAGAAAGAGGAGACACCCACAGCACCUGCUGGGACUUGCACACCUUCCAGGAAAAAGGUAAUGGACGAGGCCUAGUGGACAUGGUGGUGAAGGAUAGCCAGCCUUUUACUAUGGUCAACGACCAGGGAUUCAGGGGGCUGGUAAAAUUACUGGACCCUUCAUAUGUUCUGCCCACCAGACAGGAAAGUCUAGCCCAGAUGCAGCAACGCAUGGGAAGACCAAUGCGUAAGCUGCUGAAGGAGGUUGAGACGAGGUGGAACAGCACCUAUAAUGUUGGAGAGGCUGCAUUCAGAUAGAGAAGCUGUCAACUGUGGCGACAUUUGGAUGCAACUGUGCAGAGGAGCAGACAAAUUCAUAGUGCCACAGCAGAUGCCAUCGUAGAGGUCCAGCGCUAUUUAAGAGAACCUCACAUCAACCGAAAUGAUGAUCCACUCCAAUACUGGGAACUGCACAAACUAUUAUUUCCACACCUCUACAUUUUGUCAUUGAAAUUUUUGUGUACCCC